GUGCGUCUCCUUGCAUUGCUCACCGUUCCAGCAGGCUGCGAUGAGGAGACGUGGGCUAGGACGAGGCGGGUGGAAGAGCCCACUGUCGAGAAUCAAGGCCGGUUCGUAGAUCACUCAAUCGACAUAGAAG